AAACCAACAGGGAUUGCCUUAGUAGCGGCGAGUGAAGCGGCAAGAGCUCAAAUUUGAAAUCUGGUACCUUUGGUGCCCGAGUUGUAAUUUGAAGAAAACAAUCUUGGAUUUGGCCUUUGUCUAUGUUCCUUGGAACAGGACGUCACAGAGGGUGAGAAUCCCGUGCGAUGAGGUGUCCUUUUCCGUGUAAGAUGUUUUCGAAGAGUCGAGUUGUUUGGGAAUGCAGCUCUAAGUGGGUGGUAAAUUCCAUCUAAAGCUAAAUAUUGGCGAGAGACCGAUAGCGAACAAGUACUGUGAAGGAAAGAUGAAAAGAACUUUGAAAAGAGAGUGAAAAAGUACGUGAAAUUGUUGAAAGGGAAGGGUAUUCGAUCAGACUUGGUAUUUAGCUAUCAUUUCCCUUUUUGGGUUGUGCUCUAGCUUUUUACUGGGCCAGCAUCAGUUUUGGUGGCAAGAUAAUGACAGUUGAAUGUGGCUCUUUUAGAGUGUUAUAGCUUCUGUUGAUAUUGCCUACCGGGACUGAGGUCUGCGGCUUUGCCUAGGAUGCUGGCGUAAUGAUCUAAUACCGC
rnacentral:rRNA from 2 species